CCUUUAGCUCAGUUGGUUAGAGCGCUCGACUCAUAAUCGAUCGGUCGCAGGUUCAAGUCCUGCAAGGCC
rnacentral:tRNA from 1 species